GGCGCGACCUGGGGCCGUGGGAAAGGGUGGGCUUCCCCGCAGAGUUGCGCUCGAGGACGGAAAGUUUUUGCCUGCAGCCCCUCUGGCGCGUCCCUCUCUCGCCGGUCCCUGCCGCGCACGGUGAGGCGCCCCGGCGAGGAUCCCCGCCGAGCAGCCCCCCUCCCCCGACGACCACCCCAAGCCGGGGAGGGGACCCCUCUCCUCCCAGCCACCACUCCCUCCACCCUUUCUUCUCUUCCAUGGUGGACCUUGGGCCGCGGAGGAUUCGCGGAUGCCUCUGGGAGCUGAGACCAGUGGGUAGAUGGAAGUGGUUCUAAAAAGCAGGAAACGAAAGCUCCUCUCUUUCCUUUGUCUGAGGCUGCUGCCCUGCAUCAGUUGGUGGCGACCGCUGUCUGAAACAACUGCCUGGAACUCCAUCCUGACUGGACUUCAGGGCAGGGUGUGCCCUCAGGAACUUCAGAUCUGGGGAGAAGAGUGAAUAGCUGUGCAAAGAUGGAAACAGCCCGAAUGUCCAUCAGCAGAUGACUGGAUAAGCAAAAUGUGAUCUACACAUACAGCAGAAUAUUAUUCAACCAUAAAAAGGGAUGAAGUACUGAGUCUGCUACAACAUGGAUGACCCUUGAAAACCUGCUAAAUGAAAGAAGGCUGCACCUAAGACCAAUUAAAUCAACAUUUCUGGACGUGAGGUCUAGGCGUCAAAAAUUUAAAAGUUCACCCCCAGGUGACUCUAACGUACCACCAGGAUUGAGAACACGAGUCUGAAAUCUCAAGGGCCACAUGGGCUGAUGACCUAUGUGCGAACUGACUUGAACUUCAUCACAGACAAUGCACCUUUAUCUUUUCCCAGACUGGCUUGGAAAUGGUAUGUAGAGUACAAUAAGAAGGCUUUGAAUCAGUUUGAAAAUUGGGCUCUACUACCAACUAGCUAUGUGACCUUGGGCAAACCACAUAACCUCUCUCAGCUUUAAUCUUCUUCUAUGGAAAGAACAUAUUUCAUAGGGUUUUUGUGAGGCUUACAUGAAACAGGCCAGUUUCUCAGUUAUAACAGUGUCAGACACUGUAUGGUCAGCAUGCAUAUCUUUGCAUCUCCUUCUAGACCAAAAGAGAGACCCAGUGCCUUAUUUAUUGGAAAACCCUACACUGCAGUAUCUUGUACUAUAGGUUCAAUUUUCUCCCCCCACCUGAGGGGAGGGACACGUUCAGGUUGGGAAUUAGUGAUAAUGGUCUCUCAAGUCUAUAAUACACAAGUGGAGGAGACAGGCUGGUAGAAAUCCCUUCUGUACUCAUGCUGAGACUUUCUUUCGUGUACCAAGCUCUAUAACAAUGUAAAUACAUUCUAAGAUAAAAGCAGAUAAAAUUCACACACAAAUUCCUAACAAUAAAUAAAAUUGUUCAGAUGUU